UAGGGAAUAUUGCAAAAUGGGCGAAAGCCCGAUGCAGCAACGCCGCGUGGGCGAUGAAGGCCUUCGGGUCGUAAAGCCCUUUUUGAGGGGAUGAGGAAGGACAGUACCCUCAGAAUAAGCCUCGGCUAACUACGUGCCAGCAGCCGCGGUAAAACGUAGGAGGCGAGCGUUAUCCGGAUUUACUGGGCGUAAAGCGCGUGCAGGCGGAUUGGAGAGUUGGAUGUGAAAGCUCCCGGCUUAACUGGGAGAGGUCGUUCAAUACUUCCAGGCUUGAGUGCAGUGGAGGGAAGUGGAAUUCCGGGUGUAGUGGUGAAAUGCGUAGAUAUCCGGAGGAACACCAGUGGCGAAAGCGGCUUCCUGGACUGUAACUGACGCUCAGACGCGAAAGCUAGGGUAGCAAACG
rnacentral:rRNA from 1 species